GUAAAAUCAAGGAUUAAGGGAGUGGGAGAGAGCACAUGGAGAAACAGAGUGACUCACUGAGAUAGAAUGAGAGUACUAGAGUGACUGCUGGACACUUAGUGAGAGUGUCCUUCAGCAAUUGCUAGACCUUGAAUGAAAGUGGCACAGAAACUAGAGUAUCACAAAGACUUCCAAAUUGCGUUUGUUUCGAGUGUCAGUGUGUCAUUGAAUGAGUGAUCUUAGACAGCAAGUAGAGUGUUAC